ACUCACACCCAGAGAAUAGUUUGCUUUGUCUGGAACCAGUGGAGAAGCGCCCAAGUGGGUAGAGUCUCACUAGUGUGGGGUCUGUGGAAGGGAGGAGGGAGCCCUGAGGGUAAUGGCAGAGAGAGGAAAGAGCUUUGGCAUCAGGACAACCUGCCCCCACUCUGCUGGCCCCCACUCUGCUGCUCCCUUGCUGGGUGACCUUGGGUGAGUCACUUGCCCUCUUGGAGCAUCUGUUUCCUCAACUAUUAAAAAGGGUGAGAGUACAUCACUGCAUUCUCAUAAAGCCAGUGACGCAGAGCUCAAAUUUUAACCUGGGACUGCUCGUUCUUUCCUUUGCCCUACCUCUCUGCCCUGGAUCGAUGCACUUUGAACCCAGGACGGCUGGAGAGCAACAGAAACAAUAAGAAGAACAAGAAAAGAUGAACCUUGAAGAAGAGAAGUCAAGCAGCAUACGUGAGAUAGGUUACUUCUAGCUGGGGAAUCCGUCUGGAAGUCUUCCUGGAGGAGUGAUGUUUGGAGGAGUUGGCAAAUGGCAAAUUUCACCAGAAUCGGUGAAGAAAGGUGGAAAGCAGAGCUUCUCAGUUCUCCAGGUGUCCCGGCUUGGUGGAUGGAGGCCAAGGCCAGAGCCCAGAGGCCUGCUUUCCAGGACCAAGCCUGGCAGCGGGCUCCUGUUGCCCUAGGCCUGCUCCCCAGCCCCAGCCCCAGCCCUGCCGAUUCUUCAUUUGUGAAGAAAGGACCGGGGACUGGCCCAUCUGCAGGGCCCUUUCCGCUCUUACACAUUCUGUGACAUGAGAAGGGUUUUGUUAAGAGAGAGAGAAGCUGGAGGUGGUCUUGGAAAACCAAGCGGUACUGCUCACGCCGUGAUUGGGACAGAGAGGCAGUGAUCUGAAUGUCAGCAUACCCUGGCCCCCGAUCACCGAGUCAAGGUCUCAGACGAAAGAACUCCAUCCAGCAACUGCCGUGUAGAGAUCCCCGGACUGGAUGGGCUUAUGCCAAAUGACUGUACUCAAGAUUCUAGUGCUAACAGUGGGCAAAGUCUGGUGAGGGUCCCAUCAACAUUUCUAUACCCAGAAUGUUCCUUCAUCCAUGGUGGCAAGAACUAGGCUACCCCAUGAGACCCCCUUAAAAGAGCUACUGAACUAACAAAGAAGCGGCUUCAUUUUUAAUUGACAUUUGAAUUGAAAUGGAUGCUUUUCAAGACUUUUCCUCUCAGAUGGAAUAAGUUUGUCCACUAAAUUCCACAAUCUGAUUGAUGUGGUUCAUUUAUGUUACCUUUUUUUUUAAAGACAUUUAUUUAUUUGACAGAGAGAGAGAGCACAAGCAGGGGGAGUGACAGGCAGAGGGAGAGGGAGAAGCAGACUCCUGAGGAGCAGGGAGCCCAACGCAGGGCUCAAUCCCAGGACCACAGGAUCAUGACAUGAGGCAAAAGCAGACGCUUAACCAACUGAGCCAUCCGGGUGCCCCUGUUGCUUUUUUUUUUUUUUUUUUGGAUUUAGGGUUAGAAGACUGCAUAAAGAUUUUGUAAUCUAGCACCUACCCUAAUAUUAAAACUUCUCUGUAGCAUUUCAACCAAAAAGGCCCAGCCUUGUAUACCUCUAGUUAUAUGGAAUUUACUAAUUUUCAAGUCAAUUUUGUGCCUUAUGGGUUAGUUCUAAUUAUAAGACUUAUUCCAUAUGUGGGGUUUGGACAGCCCUUCAUGGGUGUCCUUCUCUCUUCCCCAACAGGCAGGACCAGCUCUUUCAAGCAUUGCUCAUUAGACCUCUCACCAUCCUGGGUUUCUUAAUUGUGCAAUGAAAUUCUAGACACGAAGAAACUGCUGGGAUUGAGAUCCACAGUUGAAAAGAAAAAGAUGAAUAUUUUAGUUAAUGUUUCCCUGACUGUUCUGGUUUCCAGAACAGUGGACAUCCAGCCCUGACCCAUGAUGGAAGCCAUCUGUAAUGGAUCAGAGGACUACUCAUCUGUCUUCUAACUGGGGGGCAUUCCAUCUCUGCAUGAAUCCUUCUUCUUCCCUGUCUGCUUGGUUCCCCCCCCCCUUUU